CUUAUGAUAGACUGAUUGCACUACUGGUCUUAAUUCUUCACACUUGCCUAGAGCCACUCUGCCCUGAGAAUUCCUAUCUCCUCUAAAUAAAGAGGUGCAAUCUAGUUCCUUCUCCUUUGAAUCAGGGUUUUCCUCUGGCUGACUUUGGCCAAUAAGAGCUGGAAAUGACAGUGUGUCAGUUCCAAGCCUAGCUCAGAAGGCAUUGCAUAUUUUCCUCUGACUCACACACUCUGCCAUUACCAUGAGAACAUGCCUGGGUUAGCUGCCUGCAGAGCAAAAAUAGCAAAACCAAGUCAUCUCCGUUACCCCAAUGGGGGCCAACCCAGAGUAGCCAAUAAGACACCAAUCUUUGUACAUAUGGAGAUAAUGCCCAGUGGAGAGAGAAAACCCAUGAUGUGGAUAUAUAGAAAACUAGAAAUUUGCUCCAUUUCUGAAAGCAACUAAUGAAGUCAUCUUUGGGAAGAAACAGAGCAAUGAAGAUAUUCAUCACACAAUUUGAAUGAACAGUGACUGGUAGGUUAAUUUCCUUUCACUGAGAAACUUGGACUUUGUUGCUAGAAUAUUCUAUUUGGAGCAUGAAUCCCACAAAUCACUGAACCAUUGAUUUUAAUACUAAAUUUAUUUUAAAACAACUUUCAGGGAGUUCCCAUCAUGGCUCAGUGGUAACAAACCCAACUAGUUUCCUUGAGGACGUGGGUUUGAUCCCUGGCCUCGAUCAGUGGGUUAAGGACCUUGAGGUGGGCUGUGGUGUGGGUCACAAACGCAGCUUGGAUCCUGCAUUGCUGUGGCUGUGGCAUAGGCUGGUAGCUGCAGCUCCAAUUUGACCCCUAGCCUGGGAACUUCCAUAUGCCAUGGGUGCAGCCCUAAAAAGACUAAUAAAAUACUUUUAAUGUUUUACAUUGUUGAUUCAACACUCUUAGGAAGAUAAGUAAAGUGUAUAUUCAUCACUUGCAUUUUAGAGAUUGUAUAAAAAGAAAGAAGUACACAUCCAAAGGGACACAUACAAUGUUUUUUAAAAAACUCUACAAAUUCACUUUUAUUCUAUGGAAAUUUUC
ensembl:lncRNA